GACGAACGCUGGCGGCGUGCUUAACACAUGCAAGUCGAACGGAAAGGCCCUGCUUUUGUGGGGUGCUCGAGUGGCGAACGGGUGAGUAACACGUGAGUAGCCUGCCCUUGACUUUGAGAUAACUUCAGGAAACUGGGGCUAAUACCGGAUAGGAGCUCCUGCUGCAUGGUGGGGGUUGGAAAGUUUCGGCGGUUGGGGAUGGACUCGCGGCUUAUCAGCUUGUUGGUGGGGUAGUGGCUUACCAAGGCUUUGACGGGUAGCCGGCCUGAGAGGGUGACCGGCCACAUUGGGACUGAGAUACGGCCCAGACUCCUACGGGAGGCAGCAGUGGGGAAUAUUGCACAAUGGGCGGAAGCCUGAUGCAGCAACGCCGCGUGCGGGAUGACGGCCUUCGGGUUGUAAACCGCUUUCGCCUGUGACGAAGCGUGAGUGACGGUAAUGGGUAAAGAAGCACCGGCUAACUACGUG
rnacentral:rRNA from 1 species